AAGAUAUAUGUUAUGCAAUUACAGAGGCUCAUCACUUGAUUUACAUUGUUGGGUGGUCUGUUUUUCACAAAGUCAAGUUAGUUCGAGAGCCCACCAGGCCAUUGCCGCGCGGCGGUGACUUGACACUUGGUGAAUUACUUAAAUAUAAGUCCCAAGAGGGGGUGCGGGUUCUGUUGUUAGUUUGGGAUGAUAAAACUUCCCAUGAUAAGUUCUUUAUUAACACGGCAGGAGU
rnacentral:misc_RNA from 1 species